AUCCAGCUGACGAGUCCCAAAUGGGACGAAACGCGCGUCCCAGAU
rnacentral:hammerhead_ribozyme from 1 species